GAUGAAGAACGUAGCGAAAUGCGAUAAGUAAUGUGAAUUGCAGAAUUCAGUGAAUCAUCGAAUCUUUGAACGCACAUUGCGCCCGCCAGUAUUCUGGCGGGCAUGCCUGUUCGAGCGUCAUUUCAACCAUCAAGCCCCCGGCUUGUGUUGGGGACCUGCGGCUGCCGCAGGCCCUGAAAAGCAGUGGCGGGCUCGCUGUCACACCGAGCGUAGUAGCAUACAUCUCGCUCUGGGCGUGCUGCGGGUUCCGGCCGUUAAACCACCUUCAUACCCCAAGGUUGACCUCGGAUCAGGUAGGAAGACCCGCUGAACUUAAGCAUAUCAAUAAGCGGAGGA
rnacentral:misc_RNA from 1 species